UUUUUUUUCCUGACCGCCUACACACAUACAUAAGCACAGCUGGUUAGCGGAGAGGGCAAUAGGAACUUUUCUUUAAGGGAGCGUGCCUUCCCCCUUCUAAAACCUAGAGACGCAAGGAAGUGAAGCGUGGAUUCACUGAAAACGGAGCUCACUGCAAACCACUUAAAACGGAUAGGCCAUAGAAUUUCCUCGGCCAGCGCCCCAUAGAGCCAACCCGCCUGCGACGCACAGGAUCCCCGGCACAGCACAAAAGAAGAAAAAGACACGUAUCCCACUCCCACCUUCGCGACGACGGACCGGGAGCUUCUACAAUUUUUGCAGCUACGCCUGCAACCUCAGUGGUGCGAACAGCCUGUUCGCCCCAAGGCCUAUCCAGGGCGAAAUAAUAUCUUCCAAAUGAGGCAAAACCGUGACGGAUCCGAAGCGUUCUCUGCGGGUGCCUGCGUCUCGGCGGCCGAGGCUUCCGUCUCCGCCUCAGCGCUUUUCUACCCACCACUUGCCUUCAUCUCUGCCUUGGAAUUUCUAGUUCUUUCCUUCGGUCUCCCUGGGUUGCUAGCACUGGCUUCGUGUUCGGCACUCGUAGGGAUCGCUCCCUCUUUCUCCCCUGCAGCUCUCUCCUCCUGCCUCAGAUCUCGUCUCCCCUAAGGCUUAAGUGUCUGUCGCCUUACAAACACCCUCUACAAACUUUCCGAUCCUCCCACGGGGUCCCAGACUGCAGGACCGCAAACGCAGAGGAGGUCCCGGGAGCUGACGGCCCGCGCCCUCCCAUCCCCGCCCGGCCCGGGGGCCCCUCCCGGCUGCACCCCACCAGCCCCGCCCGCUCGCACCUGGUCUCCCUGGCCCGCGCUGCCGCUGCUGCUGCCAUCUACGCGCGUCCCGGCUGGAGCUGGAGUUUUAAACCGCGUUUCCCGGGCGCAAGGCGCGGGGCCGCGCGCUCCCUACUGGCCCCCGUGGCUGCCAAUCACACGCCACUCUCGCCCCGGCCCCGCCCAGCCCCUCUGGAGUCAGCAGCUCAAGGCCUAGGCAGCCUGGGUCAAACCUUUAGAGGAACUAGGGACCCCGCCUGCGUCCAUCAUUUCCCCGAGAACGUCGUUCGGUCGUUGCUGGCUCCGAGUCUCGGGAUCUUGGGCGGUAAAGCCGCAGGUCAAUCCUGGUGGAGUUGACGAGUACUGAGAAACCUUCACCUAGGUCUCCCUGGUCUCCCUUGACCUUGGGGUGUUCUGCGGUCUUUAAGGGGCGCUUUGUCUCCCACCCAAGCUGUCACAACAAGGUGCCACUGAUUCAUAAGAAGAGGUCUUUAUGCAGCAAGCUAUGGAACCAGACAAGGCCGUGUGUGUCUGAGUUCCCCACCUUGGACAGAAUAGAGGACCACUGGGCAAGCUGAAGGGGAAUGUCCUGUGCCAAAGAGGACAGAGUGGUUGAGGACCCACAGACUCCGUGCUGCAGGCUGCAGAUGAUGAGGAUCAGACCCAACUAGGCACCUGCUGUUGGAAGGAUCUGUUUGCCACCAAGUCCCCUUUCUUCUUAUCUCAGGCUGCAGAGACCCCCAUCAGGACAGUCAUCCGGGUCUGAAGAUGGUGGCUAAGUGGCCAAUAUCAUUCUCAUUAAACAAGUCAAGUCUCAUAUAACUCAAAAUUCCAGACACCUGGAGAAGCCCACAGUGCCAGGCUAGACUUACCUUCAAAGGGCUUUCACCUAAGAGGAUACCAGGGACAGAGGGAGCUGGCUGUCACUCCGCCACAUUCCUACCCUCCACCCUGGUUCCCAUAGACACUGUAGCCCAGGUCCUGGCUCCUGAGUUUACUAUGGAUUGGGGAGAGGAGCCGCAACAUUACAGAUGAGCUCACCUGCUCAGAUAGAAACUCCAGGAAAGAAAGAGGGCUGGGGAAAGGCCUUUGUGGGAGACCUGGAGUAGUGACAAGCUUGGCAAGCCACAAUAUGGGGGGUCCUACCGGUUUAACAAAGGCAUUUCAAAAAUGCCACUGUCUAGACUAAAACCAAGAAAUAAAAAUGGUUCAGGACCUUCCUCCCGGAGACCACUCCUACAGUCUCCUCACCCACCUACCUGCCCCAGGCUAUGGCUGAUAGACCUUCAAAGAGCUUAAGAGAAAGGCAUACCCAGAAAAACUAGGACCCACCCCCAAUAAAUUGACCUACUUCACUUGUA
ensembl:lncRNA